AGAAACAUUGUCAUAUUCUAACCAGGAAAUUCCUAGACACACAUCAUGAGACAGAGGCACAUCCCCUUGUGUGGGAUGACGUGGGCCCGUUCCAUAUCCCUGAUGAGCAGCUAGCCCUGUGGGACAGAGGGACAGCACAGGGAGAUGCAAUGCUUCCCCCAGGGAACCGUUUGGAACGCUCGGGCCAUCUGAGCGCCUGGGUGGGUACGUCACACAUUCGCCUGAUUUCUCCACACCUCCUCAGGUGCCGAGGCCUAGCUAGGCUUCCUGUUGACAUGGAGAAGAAGACCUUCCUUUCCUUUCCACGGUGGUGUGGAGAGAUGAUGGCGGGCCUUGUGGAAGCAGAGUGGUCCAGGACGGGGAACCUGCACACGGAUCACCAGAGGUGCCAAGGCCUAGCUAGGCUUCCUGUUGACAUGGAGAAGAAGACCUUCCUUUCUGUGGAGAUAUGGAGAGAUGAUGACAGGCCCUCUGGAAGAAGAGUUGCCCAGGACGGGUACCUGCACAGGGAUCACGAUGAAGUUCUGAGACCUAGCCAGGCUUGCUGUUGA
rnacentral:lncRNA from 1 species